GAAAGGAUGAGCUAUGCAUUAAUCUACCAUCCUAUAUCAUUUAAGAUUGUUUUAUAUUAUGACAUACGACAUUUGGAAUAUAUAUCUUCUUGCAAAUAGGCAAGAUGUGUCAUGUGAUUAUAUUAUUUCUUCUCGCUUUUUUAUGUGAUGACACUUAUUUGUUUGCGCACAUUACUGUGAUCCAUUAAAGAUGAUGAUUAGAAAGUUAAUUUUCCUCCAGCUAGCCUCUGGAACAAAUUGAUUGGAUGUCACCGUCGUCAGGAGGAACGCUACCUUGUCACUGCCAUCGCUGGGAGCAGCACUGCCUCGCAUCGCCGACACUAGCGCCGCCUCAUGUCAUCGUCGCCGGGAGAAGCGUCGCCUCACGCCGUUCAGCCUGUAGGCAUUCCUAGAUUUCUCCAUCCAUGGCUUGCAUCGGCCUAAAGUGCUAGGGUCAACUCCAUAUAUAGGAUGCAAUAGCGGAAAUAUAUAUGGUGUUUCUGUUAGAGCAAUUGUCCAAGGAAUUGGCCUGGGAUUUACGUAUGGAUUGGCCAUUUGUUCAUGUGCUUUACAACUCUGAGUUGGAAGGCACCUGAUUGCUUGUGGGAAAGCUGAUGGUGGUGAAGUUGUGGUAGCUUUAUUCGCAGUAAUUCCGAGUGGCAUUGGUCUGAACCAGGCAGCUACAGAACUUCUUUUUAUUAGAGCCAGGAUGGAUUGCUGCUUAUAGGCUGCACGAGAUGAUAAGACGUUUAACUGCAAGCACCAAUCUUGAAGGGACCACCAUACCCAAAGUUGCAGGGGAACAUCGAAUUUAGAAACAUGUACUUCAGUUAUCUCUCACAUUCCUGGUUCAGAAUCUCAUGGUACGAAAGCAAUUUUAACCCUUUGGACUAUGUGACAUUAUGCAAGGCACAAUAAUGAUAACUUGAUUCCACUUAGAAGCUGGACGUAGCUAUAAGCAUUAUUAUGUGUUGCAGCAUGGUUUUCUAUUUGUAUUGCUGCACAUCUCACUGAUUCUGUUAUCCACUUAUCCUUUAAGAAUCACAUUUCCUAGCUUGUUGGAACUGUUCUUACAUUCCCUGAAGAAAAAAUAAUUGUUGGGAGAUGCUGAUUGGAAUCUUACUUAAUUUUCUGAACUUCUAUUCAUGGCAACUAGAAAAUCCAAAGCACAAGCUGUAUAAAUAUACAUUAGUCAUUAGUACAUGUUUAUGUAAGAAUGAAUAACUUUGCACUCGGUAUGUCCUCAUUGUGUGGUCGGAUGAGUUUGCACCACACACAUAAAUGAAAGUAAUGGAGUUUGCACUAUGGGAUUUCUCUUGACACCAGGGCAGGGUGGAUUUGAUGAACCACUGGACAUAGAAAAUAACAAUUCCAAUGGCAAGGAUGAGUUACCUACGGAUCAAAGGUUAACAACUUAACAUGCACUUCACAUUACUUAUUACUGGAGUUAAUUCUCUUUCUUGAUUUGGCUUUCACCUUAGUAAAGUGUAAGAGCUAAUGUGCCACUUUCUCUCAAGUCUACCGAUUGUACAUAGAUUUUUAAUGAUAGAUGAAUAUAUGAUUGGUAUUUUCUUCCAUGGAUAGUGGUGAACCAGGGAUAAAGCAGCAGAAGAGGCUUUCAUCUUCAAAUGUGAGUUCCAUGUCAUAGCUUCACUUUAUUACACUUACCUCAUAUCCGGGUUUUAACAGUAAUACCAAUAUACACUGAUGCAGUUUUGUGAAACAAAUCAAGCGGUUGUGCAUGCUUUUUAGCUUGAUUUGUCACAUUAUAUAUUGUGACAUGAUGGUACUUGUGUCUACGUUCAUAUGGAUAUUGCAUGUCUUGGGAAUCAUGUAGUAGCUCAAUUUAUGCACCAAACUGAAAUGGGGUGAUUCUGCAUAAACUGUGUUACUUUGAACUAGAAACAAUGGAUCUAAUACAAGUAGUCUAGCACAUCCUAAUUAUUUCUUCCAUCCAACAUGCAAUGUUGUUCCUAUUUUAGAGGAAACAAUAAAAAAUGUAACCUACGAUGCACUUUUUUUCCCGCGGGAUGAUUGAAGGUGCAAAUGAGAAGGGCUUAAUUUCACCUGCUGUUACGAUACUAAUCGAUCCAGCGAGCUGCACUCUAAAAAUUUGAUUGGUGUUCAUCGCUUUUCAGAAAAGCUACAUGUUUAUUGAUGUCAUGCCUGCAAAAGA